GAUCAUGGCUCAGGAUGAACGCUGGCUACAGGCUUAACACAUGCAAGUCGAGGGGCAGCAUGGUCUUAGCUUGCUGAGGCCGAUGGCGACCGGCGCACGGGUGAGUAACGCGUAUCCAACCUGCCUUACACUCUUGGACAGCCUUCUGAAAGGGAGAUUAAUACAAGAUGUUAUCAUGAGUAAGCAUUUUCGCAUGAUUAAAGGUUUACCGGUGUAAGAUGGGGAUGCG
rnacentral:rRNA from 1 species